rnacentral:snRNA from 1 species
AGAUUUACUGACAGGGAAGAUACCAUGAUCACUAGUUUUCUCAGGGUGAGGCUUACCCGUUGUACUAUAGAUGUAUAGAGAUGUUGUUCCAAAUGUGGGCAACUUAACUGUGUAACUUGUUGUCAUAGGGAACUGUGUUUAAACUCUUCUAUA